AUCUUGCAUGUUCGGACUGUUGGUUCGCGCUCAUGCUUAACACUGAGUGAAUGAACUGAGGUGGCAUACUGGGGACGCGGCCUGUGCCCAGCCAGGACUGACCUCUUCAGGCCUCCAAUUCUGGCUCAGAGCAGCAGAGACCAAUUUCAUGAAGGCCUUCAUCUGGACAAGGGCUCACGGGACCCAACCCUGCUUUCUUGGCCUGCCCAGACUAUGAAGGGACAGUCCUCCCAGCUGCUUCUGGCCCCUACUCAGGGGGGCACAUCCUCCAUGCCCACCUACCCCCACAUGCCACAAGGGUUCUCCCCAGAGUCCUGCCCUCAACCAUAAUGAAUGGAGGAAUGAACACGGCCGAGGUCCUGGAUUCUUUCUCGGCCACUUCCCUGCCAGUGUGUCAUUUCUGCAAUGGGUGCAGCUUCUACAGAGAGAAGGUCGUGGGCCAGAGGCGGAGCCCCAUCCCCAUCCCGAUCCCCAGAGGGACCUCAGAAUUGUUGGUGUUUCCACGGGCCGCCUCCGGGACAAUGACUUUUGCUCAGCUGGUCCCAUGAAGCAUCCCCUCCAAUCUCCGUGAUGUCUGUUUCAAACUACAAAAUGCUGGACUUGGCUGGCCCCCCUUCUAUUUACCAAGAAAGUUCGAGCAGAUGGCAUUCCGCCCAUCUCUACCAAACCUAGAUUCUUGCUCUUCGCAGAUAUUCACAGAAGCUGAAAAACUCUCCCAAGCUCUGCUUGUUUCGGGGGGCCUCAUUCAAAGCCCAUCUUCCUUCCUCCAAGCCAGACUGGGAUUCCAGCAUCGGGAUCCCACUUUCCCCUGCUUCUUCAGUUGUGGAAAGGCUGGAGGACAUCCUCUGAAAUGCUCCCAGCCUUUGGCAAGAGAAGGAAAGAGGCCAAAACCAGUCCCUGAGUCAGAGACAGACCCCCUUCAUCUCCUCAAUGAAGAACCUGGAAUUGAUGGUGUUGACAUGAGGUCCUACAAGACACUGCCCUCUGUCCACUUCGGCUCUGAGCCAUCCCCAGAAGGCUCCAUGAUGUCAGCUGCAAAACAGUCAACAAUCUCAUGUACCCACCCCUAAACACUGAGACCUUAAAGUGACUCUUGUAAUCCAAGAGAUAAGUUUUGGCCCCAAUCUAGGCCCAAUAUCCUUCGACUUUCCCCUGAGUCCCCUGAACAGACUUCGAGGAGGGCUUUCUCUUGAUCAGCUCUCCCCAGAUCCUCACAACCUCCAGGACCCUCCUUUUGAAAGGGGAGCCCAUUGUCCUGGUUCUCUCCCCUCUUGAUUGUUACUGAUGGUGGGGACUUGUUCGGACACCUCUGGAAACACAAUCAUAAUCAGGUAAUCCCUGAUGACCUCAGCAUAAAAAAUGAGUCACAGCGUGUGGAGGGGCCUGGUGCACCUGUUUGUGUGGUUUUAGGGUGAGGACACGGAUGUCAGGCAC